rnacentral:rRNA from 1 species
UGGGGAAUAUUGGACAAUGGGGGAAACCCUGAUCCAGCAAUGCCGCGUGAGUGAAGAAGGCCUUCGGGUUGUAAAGCUCUUUUACCUGGGAAGAUAAUGACUGUACCGGGAGAAUAAGCCCCGGCUAACUCCGUGCCAGCAGCCGCGGUAAUACGGAGGGGGCUAGCGUUGUUCGGAAUUACUGGGCGUAAAGCGCACGUAGGCGGCUUUGUAAGUCAGAGGUGAAAUCCCGGAGCUUAACUUCGGAAUUGCCUUUGAGACUGCAAGGCUUGAGUGUGGGAGAGGUAAGUGGAAUUCCAAGUGUAGAGGUGAAAUUCGUAGAUAUUUGGAAGAACACCAGUGGCGAAGGCGGCUUACUGGACCACAACUGACGCUGAGGUGCGAAAGCGUGGGGAGCAAA